CCCCAAGUGACUCAGAUCAAUAACAACUGCAGGAUUGAAUAUAUUAUGCGAAAGUUCACUGAGUGGAUGCCAAAGGAGUUGGCAGUUGUGAAGAAAGAUCUGGUUUUCUCUCAGAUCUUUAAGCUCCAUAAGAAUGGUCUUGGGUUCUCCGCGAGAGUGGUACACAGCUUCUUGUGUAGGGAGCUGGUGACUUACAAAUUGCACGAGCUUUGGUUCAUCUUUGCGAGGAGACCACUCCGAUUUUCAUUACAAGAAUUCCACGCAGUAACCGGGUUUGAGUGCAAUACUCAUAUCUCUCUUAAGGAGUUCGAAGAGUGGAAAUAUGACGGUGGUUUCUGGAGCAAUGUGUUGAGGAGAAAAGAUGGAACAGUUACACUCUUCAACCUGUGGAAUAAGGACAAGGAAGCUGUUAAGAAGUGGAAGAAUGCAGAUCGCAUACGACUGAUCUAUCUGGCCAUCAUUCUUUGUGUGGUUUUAGCGAGAGAUGAGAAGGCUAAUAUCCCCCUCAAAUACAUCAAGGUGGUCAUGGAUCUUGAGAAGGUUCGAAAGUAUCCUUGGGGAGUUGCUGCUUAUGACCUUCUCUACAACUCAAUAACCAAAACUCGUGACAACCUGAAGGAUAAAACUACUAGUUAUGUGUUGGAUGGAUUCUCGUACGCCUUCCAGAUUUGGGCAAUGGAAGCUGUACCAAAGAUUGGGAAGCUUUGUGGAAAAAAACUUGACAAAGGUUUCACGAACGGUCCUAGAUGCAUAAACUGGAUGGGAGCUGGAAAGGUGUCAUAUGAGGAGAUCAUUCGGUUGGAGCAAAUACUGACACCUGAGGUAAUCUCUUAUCUUUAUGUAAGUUGAGUCCAUCUGGUUUCUAUGAGUUUUAUAGGAUCUAACUCUAUGUACCUUUCUUGUGUAGGAUCUAUGCAUAUAUCGACUGGAGAGGAAAUUAUGAUGUAGUCCAAUCUGAUGCUUUUCGCACAGAUGAUGAUGUGAACGAUGAUAGAGUCAAGAACCUGAUGGAGUUGAUAAGAACAUGGUGGUACACAGCUUCUUGUGUAGGGAGCUGGUGACUUACAAAUUCCAUGAGUUUGGGUUCGUCUUUGCGAGGAGACCACUCCGAUUUUCAUUACAAGAAUUCCAUGCAGUAACCGGGUUUGAGUGCAAUACUCAUAUCUCUCUUAAGGAGUUCGAAGAGUGGAAAUAUGACGGUGGUUUCUGGAGCAAUGUGUUGAGGAGAAAAGAUGGAACAAUUACACUCUUCAACCUGUGGAAUAAGGACAAGGAAGCUGUUAAGAAGUGGAAGAAUGCAGAUCGCAUACGACUGAUCUAUCUGGCCAUCAUUCUUUGUGUGGUUUUAGCGAGAGAUGAGAAGGCUAAUAU
rnacentral:lncRNA from 1 species